GAAGAUAGAGGUUGCAGGUUUCAAGAGUAAUUAAAAAUAUUAAUCUUGUGCAGAGUUUUUAAUGAAAGGGGAAACUGCCGAAGGAUAUAUAUCAGCACACAAUAUAUAUCUUGGGACGGUGUAUAAGAUACAGCGGACUGUCACAAUAAUGUGGAGAGCUAUCC
rnacentral:ncRNA from 1 species